GAAGCCUGGUGCUUGCACCGGGUGGAUGAGUGGCGAACGGGUGAGUAACACGUGAGUAACCUGCCCCUGACUUCGGGAUAAGCCCGGGAAACUGGGUCUAAUACCGGAUACGACUGCCGGACGCAUGUCUGGUGGUGGAAAGUUUUUUCGGUUGGGGAUGGGCUCGCGGCCUAUCAGUUUGUUGGUGAGGUAAUGGCUCACCAAGACGACGACGGGUAGCCGGCCUGAGAGGGCGACCGGCCACACUGGGACUGAGACACGGCCCAGACUCCUACGGGAGGCAGCAGUGGGGAAUAUUGCACAAUGGGGGAAACCCUGAUGCAGCGACGCAGCGUGCGGGAUGACGGCCUUCGGGUUGUAAACCGCUUUCAGCAGGGAAGAAGCGCAAGUGACGGUACCUGCAGAAGAAGUACCGGCUAACUACGUGCCAGCAGCCGCGGUAAUACGUAGGGUACGAGCGUUGUCCGGAAUUAUUGGGCGUAAAGAGCUCGUAGGUGGUUGGUCACGUCUGCUGUGGAAACGCAACGCUUAACGUUGCGCGUGCAGUGGGUACGGGCUGACUAGAGUGCAGUAGGGGAGUCUGGAAUUCCUGGUGUAGCGGUGAAAUGCGCAGAUAUCAGGAGGAACACCGGUGGCGAAGGCGGGACUCUGGGCUGUAACUGACACUGAGGAGCGAAAGCAUGGGGAGCGAACAGGAUUAGAUACCCUGGUAGUCCAUGCCGUAAACGUUG
rnacentral:rRNA from 1 species